GCAGUUUUCAGCGAAAGAUACAUAUAUAAUUUUCAAUGUGUUUUUGUUUGACUGAUUUUACAUGGACGAAAACACAAGUUUUUGGUCGAAAACCAGUUUUUCUCACGAAAACAUGUUUUCAUUGUCGUUUCAGAUAUGGGUAACCAUUAUAGCAGUGGUUUUGAAUGAGAGGAUGAUAGAGGGGAAACAAGUGACACCAAUCACAGAAGAAUAUCCUUACCAUAAUUCAACUAAGAGAAGUAGAGAUAGUACGGGAUAUACAUAAAUACUAUUUUACAUACAAGUAUAAUCAAACCAAAAGAUGGUGGUUGGAAGUGGUUGAUAAGAUUAAAGAAAAUAUUAUAGAAAGUAAUAUACCUAUAAAUAACAAAGGACUACUUUUAAAUGAAAUAAAAAUUAUAAAGUCAAAAAUAACUACCCCCAGGGAGGAAAAUAGGAGGAAGAAAGGACUUAUUAACAUAGUAGGCACAACUUACAAAUGGUUAUUUAGGUAA